rnacentral:tRNA from 1 species
GGGGUUGUAGCUCAGUCAUAGAGUGCUUGCCUUGCACGCAUGAGGCACUGGGUUAGAUCCUCAGCACCA